rnacentral:lncRNA from 1 species
AAUCACACACUAUCUGAAAUCACAUUCCUCAGCAAAAUCCUAUUCAAAUUAUAAAUAUUUGAAAAUAAUAGGAGAAGGAUAAGAUAUUAGAAUUCAUGUGGGCGAGACUUACGUAUUAUAAUUGCUGGAAGUAUUGACACAUGUUAUUCUGGUAUUUUUAUCCUUUUCCUUUUUUUCUAGUUUUUACAGUACGAGGUUUUUACUUCUGUUUAAAUCUUUUUACGUGGUAUGUACGACGAUUUCAUCCAACGUGGUCAUUACGAUGAUUUCUGCUUACGUGGAAUUAACGAGUGUUUUGUUUAAAUCCUUUUACGUGGUGUUUACGACGAUUUCUGCUUACGUGGAAUUAACAAGUAUUAUGUUUAAAUCCCUAAAAUCCGAAACCUCCAAACCCCAAACCCCAAACCCCAAACCCCAAACCCCAAACCCC